AUGGCGCGCUGGUGGGAAGACAGCCCACGGGUGUCGCCCUCCAUCAAGGUCAAGUUAUCCAGCCUGGCUCGUGCUGCCCGGAGUUUGCUACGUGAGUGUCCUGGAUCUUAUGUGCCAUCUGCAUGGUGUCUGAAGGCUAAUUUAGCAGGGGUUUGCUUUUCUGCGUCCGUCCACUCGACUUUUCAUGGUUUCGAGUGAUCUUCAGCCAGAGAGGCACCUGAUCUGGUGAGCCAUUGCGGAAAGGCCCUAGACCUCCCCCAUGCAGUAGCUGUGGUCCAGACUUAAAUUCAGGAUCCUGGGGACCAUCUCCUUCCUGGCGCCGCUUCCCCCCGCUCUGCUUCCGGGAAAAGGCGCUGCGGCCGGGCUUUUACUCCACUGCGCAGGGCCAGCCCCUGAACUGUUUUUAGUUAUUUUACCCUUGAAACUAAAAUCUGAUGCUUUAAAAAAAAAAUCGAUAAAAUACAUUUAACGUUGGCAAACCUGAUCUGGUGAAACAUGGAAUAAAUCCUUUUUAAAAUUAGAAACUGGAAUGGUUUU
rnacentral:lncRNA from 1 species